GAAAUGCGAUAAGUAGUGUGAAUUGCAGAAUUCAGUGAAUCAUCGAAUCUUUGAACGCACAUUGCGCCCCAUUGGUAUUCCAUGGGGCAUGCCUGUUCGAGCGUCAUUUGUACCCUCAAGCUCUGCUUGGUGUUGGGUGUUUGUCCCCGUCUCCGCGCGUGGACUCGCCCCAAAGUGAUUGGCAGCCGGCGUACUGGUCCCGGAGCGCAGCACAUGUCGCGCAAACGAGUGCCUUGGUACGGCGGCGUCCAUAAGCCCCUCUCUCACGCUCUUGACCUCGGAUCAGGUAGGGAUACCCACUGAACUUAAGC
rnacentral:misc_RNA from 1 species